rnacentral:rRNA from 1 species
AUGGCCGACCAUGCCGCAGACGAGGAGGAGCCGCCCGUCCUGCUCGACCGCGCGGCGCGUGCCACCCGAGGAAAGAGGNNNNNNNNNNNNNNNNNNNNNNNNNNNNNNNNNNNNNNNNNNNNNNGGGGCCAAGAAGCCCUCAAGGAGGACGAGGAGGAUGAUAACUAUCAGGAAGAGCAGGAUGCUGGUGAUGUAUUCGACAGUGAUUUCGAUGAAGAUGAACCUCAACCUGAUGAUGACCCAGAGAAGGAAGUAAGUGAGAGGUUACCUAUUAAGAAGAGGCUAUUUUUUCCUGGGAAGACCAUGAAAAAAAUGAAAGCCAAGAAGAAGAAGAAGAAGAAUAAGGUCAUCAAACUAGAGGAUGAUGAAGGUAUAGAUGACAAGAAUCCUGAUAAGACUACUUCAUCCAAACAAUCAGAUGUUCCUGAUGAAUGGGAGUCUGAGAAAACGAUCAGGAAAUCAACCAGAACAUCUGUCAUUGUGAGACAAGCUGAACGAGAAGCAAUACGUGCUGAAAAGCAAGCAACUGCUAAGCCAAUUAAGAAGAGAAAAGAGGGAGAAGAAAAACGUAUGACACAAGAAGAGAUGCUCUUGGAAGCAGCUGAAACUGAGAUCAUGAACAUGAGAAAUCUUGAACGUGUACUGGCAAGAGAGGAGGAGGUGAAGAAAAAAGCUGUUGUUCAGAAAGCUGUCUAUGAGGGUCCUACACUUCGAUUUCACUCGAGAGAUGGGGAAUCACGUCUGGAAUUCAUUAAUGGGGCAUCAUUUGGGUCUGAACUUUGUACGACUUCAACUCCUUAUCCGGAGAAAUCUGUUUGCGUUGUAACAGGACUUCCUGCCAAAUACCGUGAUCCAAAGACAGGAUUACCUUAUGCAACAAUGGCAGCGUUUAAGAUCAUCCGGGAGAGUUUCCUGAAAGAGGAGUCGGAUAAGAAGAGGCCCAACAUGUCAAAUAUGGGAGAACUCUUUGAAUCAGUAGCCGGCGAACAUUCUACGCCUAAGAAGAAAAGGAUCGAGUCAAGAUCGCCAAUAUCAGGAGACCUAAGGCACGGCGGACGCUUCAGACGAAUACCUGCUCUUGAUGUCAUGGACGAGGACUGA